rnacentral:rRNA from 1 species
GAUAAACGCUGGCGGCGUGCAUAACACAUGCAAGUCGAACGAUGAAGCUUAAAUGAUCUCUUCGGAGUGACCUUAAGUGGAUUAGUGGCGGACGGGUGAGUAACGCGUGAGUAACCUGCCUUGCACAAGGGGAUAGCCGUUGGAAACGACGAAUAAUACCCUAUGAUAUGAUAGCCUCGCAUGAAGCUAUCAUCAAAGAUUUAUCGGUGUAAGAUGGACUCGCGUCUGAUUAGCUAGUUGGUGGGGUAACUGCUCACCAAGGCAACGAUCAGUAGCCGGCUUGAGAGAGUGUACGGCCACAUUGGGACUGAGACACGGCCCAGACUCCUACGGGAGGCAGCAGUGGGGAAUUUUGCACAAUGAGGGAAACCCUGAUGCAGCGACGCCGCGUGAUUUAGAAGGCCUUCGGGUUGUAAAAAUCUUUUGUAUGGGAAGAAAAUGACAGUACCAUACGAAUAAGGACCGGCUAAUUACGUGCCAGCAGCCGCGGUAAUACGUAAGGUCCGAGCGUUGUCCGGAAUCAUUGGGCGUAAAGGGUACGUAGGCGGAUAAGCAAGUUAGAAGUGAAAUCCUAUAGCUCAACUAUAGUAAGCUUUUAAAACUGCUCAUCUUGAGGUAUGGAAGGGAAAGUGGAAUUCCUAGUGUAGCGGUGAAAUGCGCAGAUAUUAGGAGGAAUACCGGUGGCGAAGGCGACUUUCUGGCCAUAAACUGACGCUGAGGUACGAAAGCGUGGGUAGCAAACAGGAUUAGAUACCCUGGUAGUCCACGCCGUAAACGAUGAGUGUUAGGUGUCUGGAAUAAUCUGGGUGCCGCAGCUAACGCAAUAAACACUCCGCCUGGGGAGUACGCACGCAAGUAUGAAACUCAAAGGAAUUGACGGGGACCCGCACAAGCAGCGGAGCAUGUGGUUUAAUUCGAGGCUACGCGAAGAACCUUACCAGGACUUGACAUACCAAGGAAAGUUUUUAGAGAUAAAAACCCUAGAUUUAUCUACCUUGGAUACAGGUGGUGCAUGGUUGUCGUCAGCUCGUGUCGUGAGAUGUUGGGUUAAGUCCCGCAACGAGCGCAACCCUUACAUUUAGUUACUAACAGGUAGUGCUGAGGACUCUAGAUGGACUGCCGAUGACAAAUCGGAGGAAGGUGGGGAUGACGUCAAAUCAUCAUGCCCUUUAUGUCCUGGGCUACACACGUGCUACAAUGGUCGGUACAAAGAGAAGCUAAAUAGCGAUAUCAAGCAAACCUCAAAAAACCGAUCCCAGUUCGGAUUGAUCUCUGCAACUCGAGAUCAUGAAGCCGGAGUUGCUAGUAAUCGCAGAUCAGAAUGCUGCGGUGAAUGCGUUCCCGGGUCU